UAAACUACAUUAUUUCUUUCUACGGAAAAAGGAAAACAAAAAAAAAAUAUGUUCUUGUUGGUCGGUUCUUUUCCAUUUUCUCAUACGAUUCAUUAUUCAAUUCAAGCGAUAUUACUCUGAUUGAAAUCUCUGUUCGAUAAUCUGAGGAUUAAUUCCGGAUAACAGAUUUUAAAACUAUUGAAGAAUGGUCACGCUGAUAGAAGAUACUAAGAGAAGAUAAGAGUCUAUAAACUAUUUUCUUACUACUUGUUUUGGGUUUUUUUAAAAAACAUUUGCUAAAACUGAGUUAUGAUAUAUUUGUUGUGCAAGUUAUAUGUGAACUAACGGUUUCUAUGAGAAAUCAUGAGUUUGUAGCAUUGUUAGUAUACACCAGAGAUUUAAGAAAGGGUUAGUAAUAUUUUUAACUUUCAAUCUUUUUCAUAUUGUAGAUAGUGUUACUAUUAGUUUUCUGUUUUGAACUCGUAAUCUUGUGUUGACUUCUCUGAAAAUAUGAAAGCAAAAUAAGAAAGACAAUCAAAUAAUCAAAGUGAAUCAUCUAAACAUAAUAUUGUCAUCUUAUUUAGGGAAAAAACUAAGAGAAGAUACUAAGUGGUGAUUAUAUUAUUUUUUUCAUCAGCUUUUACCACUAUUGAAGAAUAGUCCCGCGGGUAGAAGAUACAGAGAGAAGAUAAGAGUUUCUUGUCUAUCUUACUACUUGUUCUGUUUUUAAAAAAAAAAACAUUUGCUAAAACUGAGUUAUGAUAUAUUUGUUGUGCAGGUUAUAUCUGAACUAAAGGUUUCUAUUAUAAAUCAGGACUUUGUGGCAUUGUUAGUAUACACCAGAGAUGCUAAGAAAGGAUAAAGCUUAGAGCACUUUCCAGCUACCAUACAUGGAGAACUUGUAUUAGCGGCACCACAUGGUCCAUGUAUCAUACACUCCUUAAUAACUUCAUAAAGUUUUGGAUCUUCAUCUUCAUCUGGGAUUUCAGCACAAAUCAUCCUAUCAAUAUCCUCAGCUGUAGGUAGUUUACUUGCUUGAUCCAUGAAUAAAAGUAUGUGAGCAUGUGGUAACCCUCUUUUUUGAAACUCAAUAGUAUACAUGGCUGCAAUGAAAAACGUGGGAUUAGACUUUAUCCAAAUUAGAAAAGUCAUAAACAAUAAUUACAAAUUCAA